rnacentral:lncRNA from 1 species
CCAAGAGAGAAACUAAUAAAGAGUAGGAUCUUGAUACCUCAUGAUAAGGAAAUGAUAAGGAAGUGAGGAGCCGGGGAGGGAAGCCCACGAGCUGAGGAAAUUCAGAGUAGGGGCGGGUUGGGAGGAGCUGAGAAGGGCCAGGAUACCAGCAUGGGUUCUGUAACAGGUACUUGGGAAUCUGAGCGAGCCUGGUGAACAGCAUAGACUUUGGUAAUGUGCACCACAGCCAGCCAGCCAUUCUUCCUGAGCUUCUUUUGGACCUCUUUGGGUCUCUCCUAUGCAUUCCUUACUAACCUGAAGCACACAACCUAGACCAAGCUGACCUCGAACUAACAGAGUCCACCUACCUCUUCCUCCCAAGUACUGGGAUGCAAGGCCAUGUGCCUGCCACUAAGUUUCUGGAUGUGUCAGGUGAUACAGACUCACGUGACUAAGAUGGACAGGCUCUUGUGGUGUUCUGCUGAGGCAUGAUCCGUGGGUGUGUGUGUGUGUAUUUGGAGAGGGUAUGAAAAGGACUCAAUGGACAGUGAUGGUGUGCUUGCAUAGCUAGCUUUACAAAGCUUUGUCUUUGCCGUUCUUCCUUUCAUGGAGAGGCACAGCGGAGAACUUCUCCUGGAAUCCCGGCUGCUCCUGUAGCUCCCACUGACUCAUGCCGAUUCAGCAGCGGAGGACUGGUGGUUUCUGCUAGAUCCUGCCCUUGCCGCUGAUUCAUGUUUGCUAUCCUGAUGCUACUGAACUGGACUGCUGAUAUCCUGACAAACAGAGAUGGAGUCACCCUAAGGAACUACUUCUAAACAGCUCCACAACCCCUUGUCCUAUCUUUUCUCCCCUGCCUUUGGAUGGUGGGCUAGAAUUGAGGUCAAAGCAUGCUUAUUAAAAGUAGGUUUAAAAAAAUCAAAGCCUACAUGCUGUAAGUGUCCAUUUUGGCAUUUUGGUUCCUUUAAAAAAAACCCACAGAAAUAUUGUAAGAAUGUGUUUUUGGGGGGCUGGAGAGAUGGCUCAGUGGUUAAGAGCACUGACUGCUCUUCCAGAAGUCCUGAGUUCAAAUCCCAGCAACCAUAAGGUGGCUCACAACCAUCUGUAAUAAGAUCUGAUGCCCUCUUCUGGUGUGUCUGAAGACAGCUACAGUGUACUUAUAUAUAAUAAAUAAAUCUUUAAAAAAAAAAAAAAGAAUGUGUUUUUGUUUUAAUCUCAGGUGCGAGGAUGGGGCUGCCUCGCAGCAACUGCCUGUGAU